AGCGGUGCUUGGCGACGCAACCUGUUUUUAUUGAACAUCUCUGCGUGGCAAGAUUCUGACGACAUAGCAAUGAUACAUCUGUCAAGAGAAGACAAAGGUAAGUAACAUCCGUAAAUAAAAAUAGCAAAUGAUCUAUAAGCAGAAGUCCCCGUGGGAAUCCUUAUAAUAGAGGGUGCAGUUUGAUGGAUGGCAUAAAGAGUAGACACGGUUGUAAUUUAUGAGGUGUUGAAGAGAAAACCUGGAGCCAGGACAAGCUUGGGUUUGGAAUUCACCUGAGGGCUGGGUAGGACACAGUGGUGAGGGCACAGAGGAGACAGACUUUGCUAAACCUGGCUAUGUCCGGGACACAUCUAAGGAUAUAUGGGGAUAUUUGUUUUUUAUUUGUGUGUGAAAAGAAACAGGUAGCGGGUACAAGCCUGAAAGAGAGGACACAAGGGUAAGCCUUGAGUGUGUUUUUAGUGCUCAGGUGGCCAGCUGUGCUAUGUAUGGGGUGUCACGGAGCUGUAGGAAGCGUUUGGCCCACUGGAAGGUGAGUGGGGCAGGCGUGUGUUUGUGCACUGGUUUCUCAUCAGCCAUCACCACCCAGGGACAUAGGCUGUGCAGGACUCUGGGGGAGCUGCAGAGCUCCCAAGGGGGCACUGGGAGACUCAUUCAUGAACUGCACGGGGUGUUCCAUAGACAGGUAACUCAGGUGCCCCAGGGUCCAUUGAAGAGGACACCCAGCCUGGGUGGAGACAGCUAGCGGAGCUGGAAGGGCCCUCCAGAUUGGGGAGAUGGCACGGGCUGAGGCACAGGGGUGAGCAACAGCUGGAAGUGAGGAUGCCCAGAGGUGUGCAAAGGUUGGGUGAGGGCCCCCAGGUCAUGUAGGCUGUCUGCGGGAAUUCAGAUGGCAAACUCCAGUCUUCCAUCAACUGCAUGACUUCUCUGAGCACAACCCUGAGCUGUCACUCUUCUUCCUGAUCACAAGUCCAGGGGGGGCUUCAAGAAAGAAAUCUCAUGCAAAAUAUGAGCACAGGCAGUGGCAGAUGCACCGCUGAUGCAGGGGAAGGGGCCAGAGGCCCUGCCGGGUGCAGAUGGUCCAGCUUUGACUUGAUGUGGGGGAACACAGAGGACUGACUAUAAUCCUUUAAUGCUAAGAAAGGGUUUGUAAUGAAUCCUUGUGAACAAAGGCUAGAAAUGGGCAGUUGAUGGUAAACGGUGUACAAUGGGCUGAUAAGCACAAGAGAAAACCAUCUGACCACAAUUUCUUAGGCCUUAGGAUAAGAGAGAGGCAUACUAAAGUUUCUUGCUUGUGGAAUGUACACAUAUUUAAAAACAAAAACAAACAAAAAGUAGUAUGUCUUUCUAGAGGAGUGGUGUCGAUUAUGUAAUUCUGGAAACAAGGAGUGAGAGAGGUGCCUUCUGACCCAAUUCCACCCACAGGACUUUAACUUUACUGAAGAAUCAGGUAUUGUUUGCUGCCUUCAGGAAGAGAAACUGGGUCAUUGCAAGCCAAGGAAGGGAAAGCAAUUUUUCACUCCAAUAAGUCCUACGAAUGUAUUACCUCUUCAGAAAGUACAACAUUUUGGAGGCCCCAGUGAGAUAUGGAGCCCACCUCUGGGAAGACCUCGCUCCAGUCAUUCCAGGUUGGUGCUCUGGCCAUAGGGGAAACGCCCCCUGAUGAUGUUCCAGGGCCCCACGUCCUGAUUCACUGACCUGGGAGGCUCAGAUUGACCUCUUCACUGACCAGUUAGCCUUAGGUCCUCUGGUAAGUCGAUUCUUGUUUUCUGGUGGCGCCUUCUGGGUAUUCGAGGACUGACAAGAUGCCAAUACAGUCUCAGUUCUGUUCAAGUGCAAUGGCGUUAGGACGGGAGACUCUGGUCUGGUUAAAGAAAGGCCUUUCCUGGAUGUACUGGUUUCUGUUCCAGUUUCGUGGCCACUUUCUUUUUUUUCUUUUUUUCUUUUUUAUUUAUUUGACAGAGUUAUAGACAGUGAGAGAGAGAGAGAGAAAGAGAAAGGUCUUCCUUCUGUUGGGUCACCCCCAAAAUGGCCGCUACGGCCGGUGCUGCACUGAUCCCAAGCCAGGAGCCAGGUACUUCUUCCUGGUCUCCCAUGUGUGUGCAAGGGCCCAAGCACUUGGACCAUCCUCCACUGCCCUCCCAGGCCACAGCAGAGAACUGGACUGCAAGAGGAGCAACUGGGAUUAGAACCUGGUGCCCAUAUGGGAUGCCAGCGCCGCAGGCGGAGGAUUAGCCAAGUGAGCCACGGCACCGGCCCCAUGGCCGCUUUCUGAUGUACUGUCUGCAUUCAUGAUCGCGGGAGGUAAAUUCUUUUCCCUGUCCUGCCUGUCUCCUUUAUUCCCUUAUCUCUGGAGUCUCUCUGUCCCCUCCAUUGAGCAUGGGCUCUGCUCAGUCUAAGGGGACAACUUUUCAGUGUAUGUUCUAAAAUUUCUCGUUUUUAAAUCUAGAAAGACUGCUGCCUUAAAAAUUGCCUUGUCACUUGCCAAAGUUUUGUGGCUUGGUUUUUACAGAUCUGGAUGAAAAAUAACAAUGGGUGAUCAGCCCUGAUGUGGAUUUUUUUCGAUCUCUGGUUUAUGUCAUUGAUUUCCAGCUGGAGUUUUAUAAAAAGUGUAAAUUCCACGUAAAUGUAAUUUUGACUUUAAUUCAGAUAAAAGUAUGAUGUAUUAUCAACAUCUUAAGUCACCGAGGUGUAACUGCUAAAUAUGAAUUGGGUAAAGGUAAAUGAGAUAAAUGUGUCUAACAAAUAUGUUUUCAUGAGAGUCCAUAUAUAAAGAAUAAUUCAAGACUGCUUAAAACUAAGGUUAAAAUUUGAUGUGUUAUCUUAUUUUAAAAAUGUUGUCUUAAUUUACAGAUUUUUAAGGGAUUAUUUCAAUAUAAAUCAAGAAAUCAGCAGAUAAAAGGGGUCACAAGUAUAAAAUUGGUAAGGAAGCUUAAGAAAGAAAGAGGUUUAAAAAACAGGUUCAAGUUGUAAAAGGUGUGAGAAAGUCACAAAAGGUAGUGACAAAUUUUCUUAAUAAAAAGCUAUUAAAAUCUGAUCCUCUGUUAAAACAAUGAGGUUUUUGUAAUACAGAUAUGUUAGUAAAUAUUUUUAAAUAAUCUUUAAAAAUCUAUUAAAAAACUGCAGCAUCUCCUUUUAACAGUCUUUAUUUAAUUGGUUACUGGCAUUUUCUAUCUGGAUCCAGGAAGCUCUCUUCUCUUUCCUAGCUCUGACUCUGUUACAGUUCUUCCAAGUUAUGGGAUGAUUCCACGUGCUAACUUAUAUUUAAGGAUUUUAUUUCCCAUUUUAAUGACAAAUAAACAUCAAUUUUGUAUCCUACUUAUGUUCUCUGUCUCUCCUUAAAUUCUGAUUGUUUAGAAACAGCUGUGUUUUUAUUAAAAGAAUCAUGGUUUGGUUAAGUAUAUACUCAAUCUAAAACAUUUAAAUGAUCACUUUGUAACACGAAUAAAAUCGAUCUCUAUCGAUGUGACUCAUGCAAAUGUCCAGAAGCUACAAAAAUCUAAUAAUUUUGUUGUGUUAUUAGUCACAGUGCUUGUCUUAAUGAAAAACAUUGUUGGUUCCGUGUUUAAAUGUUUCCUCUUUUAGGUUUCAAAGCACUUUUUUUUCCUAUCUUUAUUGUAUUCAGUACUUUGGUAUGGCUCUACAAAUAGAUAAAGCCAAAGUUUAACAGGUUCCAACUAAAAAACAUGUGGUUAAUUUAGGUUACUAAAAACAGAAAUCAAUUCUAAUUAAUUGUAAUUAAAAAAACAGUUAAAGAUCUUAAAAAGCUGUUACUAAGACUGCUUUAUUGUUCUAUCCUGUAAUGUAUGUUAUAUGUAUACAUAUUGUAUGUCUACAUAAAAAAGUAUUAAGAACUCUGUUUUAAUUGACUUAUAGAUAUAAGAUUGUUCAUAAAUUUAAACUACUAAGUUAACCCAAAAUACAUUUUUGGUUCACGUGACCUAAAUAAACUUCUGUAUCAGGUGUUUUAAACUUGCUGGUACAGAGAAACCAAAAAUAAUUUUUUUAAGUCAUUGACAUGUUCAUGCUUGGGUUUGCUGGUUAAACAAGUUACACUUGUGCUAGAUAUUCAAACUAUUUUUCCAACUACAAGUACUCUUAUAAUUUAUAAAAGACUUUAGACUUUUUGGUAAAUACUUUCAUAAGUUGUUAUUUGACAAUUAAAAUUGCUUACUAAGUUUUCACUUAAUAUUAUUGACAGCAAGUAAUCUAAAAAAACCUGUAUUCUCUUCAAGAUGAGAAACUGAUUCUAUUCUAAAUUCUCCAUCAGGAUAUACAGUUUGAUCUUCAGACCUUAUAAAAAUAAUGGCAAACAUUUUUCUAUCGUCAUGCCUGGCCACAUACAACAGCUAGAUUUAUUUUGCCAUAGAUAAAGUAAACAGGCAAAACCUCCCGUUUCAAACCAAACUAAUGGAGAAAUACAAAGUCUUACUAAUUGGUUCAAAUGGUUUAGAUAAAGUGGUCUUCAUGUUUAAUCUUAUAAAAUGCCUGUGACAACACAUUUCUAGCCCAGGCCGCCAAAGAUUAGUGAUGGGAUUGAGCACCCCCUUGGCUAACAUCCUAAAGGCCUCCUGUGUGGUCUACUUUAACAAGGACCCAGAAAAAGAGGAGUGAGCUGGGCUACAGGAGCAAUGUAAGUAUAGGUGACAGGCCAGUUAAUAAUAGCUUUACACAGCGAUCUGCCAUCAAGGAGACCCAACAAGGCCAGUCAGCCCUAAAUGGCAUUGGUUUUUGAUGUGGAAAGCCAGGGCUUUGGACAGAUGGCAAUCAUGGCAGAAGCCAGUCUCCAAAGAGCCCUAUCAGCUCUGCCAGCCCAGAGCUGGGUCACUGGAAAUGGAACUGCCCUGGCGUCGAAGGACUCCUAGGUCAGAACCGCAGAACUUGUUGGCUCUAAACUGAAAAGCCCUUCACUCUGCCCAGCUUCCAAACUGACCACUGCCAUCAGGGGGACAGCCUAGGGUCAGGAACAUUGCAGACAGAGCUGUAGAUUUGCUUUUACAGAUCCUGCCUAUUCUAUACUGACUUCUUAUUCAGGCCAGCUCUGCUUCCAGGCCAGCUAGGAACUGAGAGUCAACAGGGUGCCUGCCCUAAGGAGGUUCACACCUGUACCCCAUGUAAUUAUCAAGCCCCUCCUGUCAGUUUGUUUGCCUCUAAAUUAAAACAAAAACAAAACUCCCUCCUGGUUCUGACAGCACCUUUCAUAGGUCCUCUAAUAAUGACUCUGUCCUUUGUUUUAGACCCUGUGUAUUUAAUCUGCUUGUUAGAUUUAUUUUCUCAGAUUUAAAGCAUACAUGGCCAUGCACAUAAAGCCUUGGAUGAAAGCAGUUUCUGCAAACUGACACGCAGCCUCCUCAAGAGGCCACCUUCUGUUUUGACAGCCAUUCCCCACUCCACAUCCUAAGGGGCCCCCAAAUUAACGACCCCCUGUCAGCAGGAAGUAGUCAAGAUGAGAUUGACAACCUGAGUCCUUACAAUAGUAGGGUGCGGAUUAAAAGAGGGAGAUGGCUGAGGCCCUCUGGUUGGGCUGUCUGUUGGCCCCUCAGGCUUUAACAGAAUGUCUUAUACAUACAGGCUGUAAGCUGUGAACAAAAGAUUUACUGAGACCUGGUCUCAACUCUUCAUCACUGCGAUAUCCUAUACCCAAAACUAGCAACAGUGGGGCUGGGUCCACCAAAGCAAACACCAGCUUUUAGCACCUCCCGUUCCAGUUGUCACCAAAAGGCCCCAUGGUAGUUCGGGUCCUAGUUGGGUUCAGUGUGUCAGGCACUGCUGCCCUCAGCACAGCAGCCUGGGUUCUGGGUGAGCUAAGUGCUUCCCAUAUGCCUGCAUCAGCCAACUCCGAUCUGCUGAUCUGUUACACAGCCAGGUAGAGUCUCUUAAAGGGGUUGUCCUGACUGUAGGCCCCUGAAUUCUCAACCAGUUACUAAAUUUCAUUAGACAAAGUACAGCUUCUGGUAAACUCAUGUAGAUACAUACCUAUUACUCUGUUCUAAAUAUACUUCCUGAUCCAUAUGAUGUGGCUGAAUCAAGGAUUUGAUUAUUGUCAAAACACAAAAUGGGGAAUGAAGUAACACCUUGACAGUAGGGACUCCAUUUUGGAGCACCUGAGACUCCAUCUUGAGAAAGUACUACCCCCACCUCCACCCCCAUGAGACUCUGGUCUGAAGCUAUGAUCUAAAACUCUCUGACAAUAGCAAUCCGCUCCAUCACACCUGGCAACCUGCCUCACACUUGGCAGAGCAUAGAAACCCCCUAGCAUGAUUGCUCAAGCUUGCAAGCAGAUAGGCUGCACCUGGGUUCAUGAUAAAAAUGUAAUUUGUCUAUGUCCUACCUAUGGUUUAAGCAAAUACCUGGAUUAAUGUUGAGAUUAUAAUUGAAAUUGUUAAGAUUGUAAGUGGUAUUGUCAAGAUUAUAAUUGAUAUUAGUUUCCCAUAGGUUUUAGGUCAGCUUGACCUCGGUAACCAUGUAUUCUCCCCUGAUCCUAGCAACCAUGUGUUCCCCUCCCGAUUUUGUGGCUUUUGGCUUCAUAAACCCUGUUGCUUUGAGCUUCAGGGUUGAGAGUUCUUUAGGGCAUGAGCCCACUCUCCACCGCGGGCAAUAAAGGACCAUCAAAUUUUAUCAAUGUGUGGUGCUCCUUUGUUCACACUCAGGUACAACAAAUUCACCAAUUUUUUUUUUAAAAAAUUAAGGAGUAGUGGAAUUUUGGUUGAUUUAUUUUUUCCCUUGUACCUUUUUAUUUUCCAAUUUUCUGUUAUAUUCAUGUGUUUGUUUCAUAAGAAAUAUGUCCCUGAGGACAUACGCACAUGGACAUUCCCACUCCAGAUGGUAGACUGAGAUUAUGCAUUUGUAUCCUAUUCUCUUCCAAAAUUCCACUGGAAAUAAAAAUGUGACUAACAUCAUAAUAGUGUUAGAAGAAAAGAAAGGAGCUACCAGUAAGUACUUAGUAGAGGUUAAGCAGAUGGCUCCUGUUUCUAGACACCAGAGCAAAAGAUGCCUGAUAUGAAUACACAUCCUGGGAAGACACUACAAAAAUGAGUCAUUUUUCCCCACAGAAACUCCAGUUCAGUAAGUAACACGAAGAGUGCAAAUGGGAAUUGGGACGCCGGAUGGAAUAAGAAUGUUAAUAGAAAACAAGUCUGUGGGAGUACUGAAGUAAAAUAUAGGAAAAUUAUUUUGUAAGUUGGGGCUAGACAAGGGGAAAAAAGCAUAAACUCAGAAGGCAUAAACUGUUGAUUUGAUUGCAUUCCAAAAAAUUAUAAACUUUAGUAAGAAAUAUUUUAAUUAAGCACAGUAGAAUGAUAUGUAACAGGCCAAGAGAAGAUAAUUUUGCCUGCAGAAUUGUCCAUUAGUAAUUAGUCAUAAUAUUUAGCAUUUUAUAAGCCAGUUUGAAUAGGACUAGGAAAAAUGGAUGAAGAAAUGGACAAUUUACAGAUAAAUAAAUACAGAUAACAAAAAUGUCUGAAAAUAUGUGAAAUUUCACCAGUUUUCAGGGAAAGGCAAAUUGAAAGUGAGUAUCACUAUUUAACAUUCUUUUUUUAUUAAAUUUAUUUAAUGUCUCUACACAUUAAAUAAGAAUCUGGGCUUGGUUAGGGUGUGGGGACACAGGCAUUCUCAUACAUCAUGGAGUGAAAGUGGAUGUCUUUUAGUGUUGACAGUUGGGAAGCAGCUGUCAUGCCUUUUGCUCGCUAUUUCACAUCUAAGAACCAUCAUGUAGAAAUACUGACAUUUGUUCAGAAAGAAGUUUCACUGAAGCUUGUUUGUAAAAGCAGAAACUACUUAAAUGCACAUCUAUUCCAUUGAUUGUGGUGUAGUCAUACAAUACAAUUUUAUGAGGCUGAGAAAAAGAAUGGAGUUAUAAUUCUAUUUACUGCUAGGGAAAGAUCUCCAGGGUGUGAUAAGUGAAAAAAUGUUAUAGAAUCAUUUCAUUGAGGUUCCAUUUAUGAUUAUAUAAUUGUAUGUGUGUGUGCAUGGGUGUGAUAGGCAUGCAUGUGUCAUCAGAUGGAAAUGCAUAGAGGGUUGGAUCUUGACAGAUACGCAUCAAAGUGUUUACAGUGGUUACCUCUGUAGGGUAAAGGCAUGAGGGAGUCGCCCAUGGUUUUUGUUUUGUUUUGUGUUUAAAGAUUAAUUUGAAAGGCAGAGUUACAGAGAGGCAGAGAGAGAGAGAAAUCUUCCAUCUGCUGGUUCACUCCCCAGAUGGCCAAAACAGCAGGAGCUGGGCCGAUCCGAAGCCAGGAGCCAGGAGCUUCUUCCAGGUCUCUCACAUGGAUGCAUGGGCCCAAGAACUUGGUCCAUUCUCAACUGCUUUCCCAGGUGCAUUAGCAGGGAGCUGGAUUGGAAGUGGAAUAGCCAGGACUCAAACUGACAGCCAUAUGGGAUGCUGGCACUGCAGGUGAUGGCUUUGCUUGCUACCCCACAGCACUGGCCCCUCCCCAUGUUUUGAUACAUGAAUCUGUUAUUUGACUUUCUACAUGUCAUUCAUCAUUUUGUGACAUUAAAAACAACAAAAAAGUUUAAAAUGUGCACCUUUUCUAGUUAAGACUCAUUUUUUUAAAACUUUUAUUUAGUAAAUAUAAAUUUCAAAAGUACAGUUUAUGGAUUACAAUGGCUUUCCCCCCUAUAACUUCCCUCCCACUCGCACCCCUCCCAUCUCCUGCUCCCUCUCCUAUUCCAUUCACAUCAAGAUUCAUUUCCAAUUAUCUUUAUAUACAGAAGAUUGAUUUAGUAUAUAUUAAGUAAAGAUUUCAUCAGUUUGCACCCACACAGAACAUAAAGUGUAAAAUACUGUUUCAGUACUAGUUAAAGCAUUAAUUCACAUUGGACAACACAUUAAGGAGAGAUCCCACAUGAGGAGUAAGUACACAGUGACUCCUGUUGUUGACUUAACAAUCUGACACUCUUGUUUAAGGCGUCAGAAAUCUCCCCAGGCUCUAGUCAUGAGUUGCCAAGGAUAUGGAAGCCUUUUGAGUUCGCAGACAUCGAUCUUAUUUAGACAAGAUCAUAGCCAAAGUGGAAGUUCUCUCCUCCCUUCAGAGAAAGGUACCUCCUUCUUUGAUGGCCAGUUCUUUCUACUGGGAUCUCACUCACAGAGAUCUUUCAUUUAGGUGUUUGUUUUUUUUUUUUUUUUUUUUUUUUUUUUUUUUUUUUUGCCAGAGUGUCUUGGCUUUCCAUGCCUAAAAUACUCUCAUGGGCUCUUCAGCCAGGUCCAAAUGCCUUCAGGGCUGAUUCUGAGGGCAGAGAGCUCUUUAGGACAUCUGCCAUUCUAUGAGUCUGCUGUGUAUCCCACUUCCCAUGAUGCAUCGUUCUCUCCCUUUUUGAUUCUAUCAGUUAGUAUUAGCAGACACUAGUCUUGUUUGUGUGAUCCCUUUGACUCUUAGACCUAUCAGUGUGAUCGAUUGUGAACUGAAAUUGAUCACUUGGACUAGUGAGAUGGCAUUGGUACAUGCCACCUUGAUGGGAUUGUAUUGGAUUCCCCUGGCACAUUUCUAACUCCACCAUUUGGGGCAAGUCCGAUUGAGCAUGUCCCAAACUGUACAUCUCCUCCCUCUCUUAUUCCCACUCUCAUAUUUAACAGGGAUCACUUUUCAGUUAAAUUUAAACACCUAAGAAUAAUUGUGUGUUAAUUACAGAGUUCAACUAAUAGUAUUAACUAGAGCAAAAAUAAUACUAAAAGGGAUAAAGUGUUAAAUUGUACAUCAACAGUCAGGACAAGGGCUUAUCAAGUCACUGUUUCUCAUAGUGUCCCUUUCACUUCAACAGGUUUCCUUUUUUGUGCUUGGUUAUCACCGAUCAGGGAGAACAUAUGAUAUUUGUCCCUUUGGGACUGGCUUAAUUCACUCAGCAUGAUGUUUUCCAGAUUCCUCCAUUUUUAAGAGUGUAUUGUCUCUAGGUCUUUGAGAAACAGUAGAAGUCCAACCACCACCAAUGGAGUAGUAUGUAGUCAUUUUUAUGAAAUUGUGUUGAAAAUAGAUUAGUUUUACCAAAUUGUAUUAUUUUGGCAGAAGAGAUUAUAAGAUCCUGGGGGAGGAACAUGAUUAGUGUCAAGAUAGAGUUGCUGCUGUUCCACAACAAGAGAAAAGCGGUGUUAGCUGGAACGACAGCAGUAGGAAAUGCGUGCGUUUCAGUGGGAUGAAAACUGCCUCUGAAUAAUCCAAGUUGAGGGAGCCAAAGGACAUUUGUGGUAUCAUCUUGUUGGGGAAAGUAACCAGGCACUAAAGAAAUGCAAGAGUUUCAGGAAACAGAAACUAUAGGAGGACAGCGAUAGGACUGGGUGUACCACUGGAAUUCCUUAUGUGCUACAUUUCCCAGGAUGGCUGGGCAGGACACUGACCACGCUUCACUCUCUCUUUCUCCAAAGGGAUAAAAGGAUGUAUUGUUCUGUGCUGGUUCUUGCUCUCCUAUUUAUUCCAAGAUCAUUAGCACUUCAAAAAAACUUUGUUUCUGAAUAAUCAUAGCAUGAGUGGCACGAUAAUGAAUUUAUGUAGAUUUGACCCAGAUUGUUGUGCCAAGGUUGGUUAAAUUGUGUUGGAGGAGAGUUCAGAUACAGCCAAUGUCUCAUGGCCAGGUCAGUUUUCUCCCCUUUUCAUUUUCCCCUUCUUUACUGUGACUUCUUUUCCAUUUUGAUUUCAUCUUUCAUUGGUGGAAAUACUACUAGAGAAGGGUGUUAACUGCUUAUUUAGCUAUAGAAACAGUUGGUGGUACAUAUGUGAUCAGAGUGAAGAACAAGAGAGCCUUCCUCCAAGCCCUCUAAGUUUUAUUGACAUGUUAUUUACAUGCUAUACAAUCCAUCUAUUAUAAAUGUCCAGUCUUGGACAGGCGCUGUGGCAUAGUGGGUAAAGCUGCCCCAUGUAGUGCCGGCAUCCCGUAUGGGUGCCAGUUCGAGUCCCAGCUGCUCCACUUUUAAUACAGCUCUUUGCUAUGGCCUGGGAAAGCAGUAGAAAAUGGCCCCAAGUCCUUGGGCCCCUGUACCUGCAUAGGAAACCUGGAAGAAGUUCCUGGCUCCUGGCUUCCGAUUGGCACAGCCCUGUCCAUUGCAGCCAAAUGGGGGAGUGAACCAGCGGAUGGAAGCGCUCUCUCUCUUUCUCUCUCUCUCUCUCUCUGCUUCUUCCUCUCUGUAACUGCCUUUCAAAUAAAUAAAUAAAUCUUUAAAAAAUGUCCAGUCUGGGUUUUAGUAAAUUUAAAUCCUUGUGCAGUUAUACAUUGCUCUAAUUCAGUUUUAGAAUAUUUCUGUUGUUCCUAUAAGUUCUUUUGGGAGCAUUUUAAGCCAAGUAUUUUGCCUGUCUUUCUUGGAGAGAGGAAAUAACAAAAUGGUAUAAAUUCUGGCCCCAAACACAUGUGAUAACGAACAUGUGAGUUGAUACUCCUCAAGGAUUUUUUCCCACAUUUAAUUUUUCAUUUACAUCUAAAGAUGAAGAAAUGUAUCCACUUUCUAUCACCCAGCCCUCACUUCCCACCUGAGCCUUCUGCGAGUGCAGCCUCUCUGGAGUUCUGGCUUUUCAUGGAUGUUUUCCAGUAAAUCCUCUUGGGUUCUACAGGCUGUUGUAACUUGGAUGUGUCACUCCAAAUAUUUAUGUAUUAGAAACAAUCCCCAAGAUUGAUGGUAUUUUGGGGGUUUGCCUUUGGGAAGUGCUUAGAGUUAGAUGAGGUCAUUAGGGUGGGGCCCUGUGAUGGGUGGGAUUAGCGGCUUUAUAACAGAGUGAGAAAGAUCUGAGCACACACUUUCCCUUGCUCUUGCAAUGUUUUACCCUCUGCCAUGGAAGGAUGCAGGCAAGAUUGCUCUCUUCAGAUGCCUGCACCAGGCUCUUGUACUGCCCAGAGUCCAGCCUGUGAAAAUUAAAUAUCUUUUCUUUUCAACUUGCCCAAGGCUGUGGCAUUCUAUUAUAAUGGCAGAAAACAGAGACACAGACACAGCUUCAUGUUUUUGUCUAUUUUCCCCAUUGAGCACCUGGGAGGGUCCAUCCACCCCUCUGCCCAUCUCCCAACAAGCACCAGCACAAGGUGGACUUAACUCUCAGGAUUUUUACUUUCUCAUCAUCUACGUGCAGACCUUACUCUCUUUCCCAAUGGUUCAGCCAAGUAUUUUGAAAUAUUAAAGAUUUUUUUAUCAGUAAUUUUUAGAUUUAUACUGAAAGACUAUGCUGAACGUCUAGUCACCCACAUAUAAGAAAUGGGAGCCAUCAUAUUUAUCUUUGUAUAUGUUUUCUUUGAGUGUCUUUUAAAAACUUAUGUGUUUGGGGUACCAGCACUGUGGUAUAGUAGGCUAGGCCUCUGCCUGUGGUGCCAGCAUCCCAUAUGGGCACCAGUUUGUCCCGGGUGCUUCACUUUUUUUUUUUUUUAAAACAUUUAUUUAUUUAUUUGAAAGGCAGAGCUACAGAGAGGCAGAGGUAGAGAGAGAGACAGAGAGAAGGGCUGCUUCACUUCUGAUCCAGCUCCCUGCUUGUGGCCUGGGAAAGCAAUAGAAGAUGACCCAAGUGCUUGGGUCCUUGUACCUGUGUGGGAGACCCAGGAGAAGCUCCUGGCUCCUGCUUUUAGAUUGGCCCAGCUCCAGCUGUUGCAGGCAUUUGGGGAGUGAAUCAGUGGAUGGAGGACCUUUCUUUCUAUCUCUUCCUUUCUCUCUCUGUAACUCUGCCUUUCAAAUAAAUAAAAUCUUUUAAACAUUAUUUGAGUGAGAGAGACAGACACACGUACACACACGGAGAGAAAGAGAGAGACAGAGAAAGAUGGAGAGAGAGCAAGCUUUCAUUUGCUAGUUUACUUUGCAAAUUCCCACAACAACUGAGGCCAGGCCAGGUCAAAGCUAAGAGCCCAGAACUCAAUCCAGGUCUCCUAAUAUGGGUAGCAAAGACCCAACUACAUGAGCCACCACUGCUACAUCCUGUCUUGCGCAUUCACAGGAAGUUGGAGUCAGGAACUGGAGCCUAGUAACAAACCCAGGCACUCUAGUGUGGAACACUGUGUCUUAACUGCUAGGCAACUACUUGUCCCUUUCUUGCAUUUUUAAGAACAUUUAUCACAUUCCAGGAGUCUCCAGGCUGGCGGUACAUGGAAGGCAUCUAUGUGUAUGGCUACACCACAGUGCACAAAGCAAAGUGUAUAUGCAGGCUUCUAUGGAGAGACACGGAAUGCGAUCAUUUCAAGAGAACUGAUUUCCGGGUCUUCACCGUGUACUCUUUCCUAAAACCGAUCUUCCCUUGGAACAGCCCAGUGUGGUCUGAUUCUCUGUUCUCAGCCUUCUCAUCAUCAUCCUGUCCUUUUCAGCAAAACGUGGGAGUACUUCCUGAGUCUUACUUCUGUUCUGCCCAUGGAUACAAAAACCGGGGUGACAUUGACUAAUUAUAGAAUGGAGAGCUCCUGAGGAGGAGAUCCAUAGGACAGAAGUGAAACUAGCCAGAAAGAUGGGAAGGGCCUUUUUCAUCCUGCUGGUGUUGUGCCCACAUCGUUAGAUCCCCAAACGCCGCCAGAGACUCGAACACACCGAAAUGCAAAAGCAAGGUUUAUUUCGGAAGUACAAGCCGCGUCAGGGACCCCGUCUAACCAACCGCGCAGCAGAAGGCAGAGGAAGACCCCGAGCCGUGCUUGGGAGCCUCUUUUAAAGCCGGGUUAAGUCAUCGAGGGGUGCGGGGUAACAGUGGAUUUUCUAGGGUCGCCUCUGGUGCUUCCUGAUGGAAUGCGGUUGUUCCUGAUUGGUUCAGGCCCAGGGGAUUUCCUUAUAUGAUGACCGCUAACAAGCUGCUCUGUUGUAAGUUUCAGUUUCCCCUGAGUGGCGCUGCUUUUAUGGGAAGUCGGGCCUGCCUCCCCGAAUGGAGGCACUUUUUCAAAAUGUAGUUACUCUGGCCCUUCACUAGGAGACCCGCAACAAAACUUUCUACUGUUUCUGUCCUUCUUAGUGCUGCAAUGUAGGAGUGAAAUUCCUGUUGCACAAAUGCAUGUUUAAUACUUCCAUUUUCUUUUAAAAGAUUUAUUUUAUUUAUUUGAAAGAGAGUUAAAGAGAGAGGUAGAGACAGAGAGAGAGGUCUUCCAUCUGCUGGUUCACUCCCCAGAUGGCCUCAAUGGCCGGAGCUGCGCCGAUCCAAAGCCAGGAGCCAGGAGCUUCUUCCAGGUCUCUCACAUGGGUGCAGGGGCCCAAGAACUUGGGCCAUCUUCUACGGCUAUCCCAGGCCACAGCUGAGAGCUAGAUCAGAAGAGGAGCAGCCGGGACUAGAACCAGUGCCCAUAUGGGAUGCUGGCGCUUCAGGCCAGGGUGUUAACCCACUGCGCCAUAGCGCUGGCCCCAUAAUACUUUCAUUUUCAAGAGUAGGUCAGACUUCUUCUAACAGCAAGUGUGUGUUUGGGGUCUUGACUUUGAUGUAAAAGACUGAUUUUGUCCUAUAAUUUACAUGGCACCUUUCUCCAUCAGUUCAAUAUGCUAAAUUUGUAGCUUCAAGGGGAUGAUGAAAAACAUUUUAAGUGCGUUGGAAUUUGCAUCUUUUCAAUUCCUUACAUUUGUGAUUUGAAAAACUGCAGGUGUCACAUUAAAAAUGUGGGGAGAUAAGUGAUAUUGAAAGCUAGGGAUUAUUCAAACAAAUCUGAAAACCAUUGAUGUGUAUUGUUUUUUCUUUAUUGUUUCUGUUUUUCUAUUUUCUUGCUUGUUUUAGGGUUUUGUCAUUUUGGUAAUUUUCAUAAUAGAGUUUGGAAAUCACAGCUCUUAAUUUGUGAAACUUGUAUUACUUGUUUUUCCUAGCUGUAAAUUAUAGAAAAUAAGGAGAGGGACUACCCAGUUGCCAAGUACAUUAGAGCUGUGAUUGGAAAUUAGUUUUGAGAGCAAAGAGCCCUUAAGGAUUUGGAUCAGCUUCAUGAAAAUGAUAUGUACAAAGUGCCCAUUUUAGCGUUAUCUGUAAUGGCUCAGAAUUGGAUCAGCUAUCCAGAUAAUUCAUAGUGUAGUCCCACAGUAGAAUAUUAUAUAGCAAAGAAAUGUAGUGAACUGCUGCUACAGCAAUUUGUGGUUGACUCAGAAAAAUGAUGCUGGACAAAAUGACAAAUAUAAGUGUAUCCUGUGUGCUUCUACUUACAUAAAAUUCAGAAAAGGCAAUACCAUUCUGUGUGAUGAAAGUUAGAGCACUGGGUACCCCUAGAGAGUCAUGACUGAGAGGGAGCACAAUGACAGUUCAGAGGUAUGGCCCAAGGACUCUAUCUGGACCUGGCUGUCAUCACAUACUUGUGUUCACUGUGCUGUGCAUGCUUGUGCCCGCUUUGCUGAAGGUGUAUGUCCUGUUUCAGUGAAAUGUUUACUUAAAGAAGGACUUUGGAGGACUGGCAUGAUGGCACAGUGGCCUAAGCUACUGCUUCUGUUGUUGGCGUCCUAUAACAGUGUGAUUGGUGUCCUGGCUGCUCUGCUUCCAGUCCAGCUCCCUGAUAAUGUACCUGGGAAAGCAGCAGAUAAUGGCCCAAGUAUUGGGCCUCUGUCACUCAUGUGAGAGACCCAGGAGGAGUUCCAGGCUCCUGGCUUUGGUCUGGCCCAGCACUGGCUAUUGUAGCCAUUUGGAGAGUGAACUAGUAGAUGGAAGAUGUCUCUCUCUCACUGUGGCUUUCAAAUAAAUAAAUAAAUAAAGUUGUGCUUCCUGUCACCUAAAGAAAACCACAGCAACUGUUUUGUGGGAAGUAUUUUUUUGGCCAGGUAGAGUUAUAGACAGUGAGAAAGAGAGAGACAGAGAGCAAGGUCUUCCUUCCAUUGGUUCACUCCCCAAUUGGCUGUUCUGGCUGGCGCUGCGCCGAUCCGAAGCCAGGAGCCAGGUGCUUCUUCUUGGUCUCCCAUGCGGGUGCAGGUGCCCAAGCACUUGGGCCAUCCUCCACUGCCCUCCUGGGCCACAGCAGAGAGCUGGACUGGAAGAGGAACAACCAGGACUAGAAGCCGGUGCCCAUAUGGAAUGCCGGCGCCACAGGCGGAGGAUUAACCAAGUGAGCCAUGGUGCUGGCCCCUUGUGGGAAGUAUUUUUUUCAGCUAUUUUUAAUGGUGUUGAUUGAACAUGUUGAUGAUUUUUAGGUGAACACUUUGUCACUGAGAACAUUACUUAGCUUUGGCCUGUACAGACAGGCCUGACAGAGGCAGGCACGACAGGGCCAUGUGGUGAGUUUAAUAGCGGGGGAUCACUAUGUAACAAGCUUUCACUUGCGCUUUGAUUCUUACAGUAUCUCUCAUUUCUGGCAGGGUGGAGGCAGGAUAUAAUUCUAGGUCUAUGGGAGGAAUUUCUUGUCUAAUUGCAAACACCUGUGCUUGGCACAGAUCCUGUGAAACUUUCCCAUGGGCCCUGAGACACACCUGCGUGCUAUGGACCACACCCCCUUGUGGGGGUGCAGGGAACUCCCAGCCAAUGCACACAGCACAUGGAACCCUUUCCCCAGUGCCCACCUGCACCAGGGGUCAACAACUCCACACCCCAAGCUUCUACCCCUACCUUUACCCCAGUUCUUCAUUCUCCCCACCCACCCCAGGAAAGCACCCUCCCUCCCCCCAUAUGCAACAUGAGCCAUGGGUGUUAAGACAGGCAGUCUCUUGCUUUUGGACUUUAUUGACUGCUGAAAAGUUCAACGGCUGUGUUCUUAAGAUAGAGUUAUUCACAGAAAGUUUCCGUAUCAUCACAUUUAUGGUAUGUGUUUUGCAUAUACCAUGCCACAGUGUUGUCUUUACGAUUUGAACAGAUGAUGGUAGCAAUAACUUCUAGAGAAUCACCUCUUUGGAUCUGUUGCACAGAAAGGACUGUCUGCCCCAGAGUGAGGCCACUGACACCUGUCCUGGGCCUGGAUCAGCUGCCAGUGCACCUGAUUUGUCUCUGACAUUGUGCAGACUUUGUCAUCCCCACCCAUGUGCCACUCCUGGCUUGGUUUGGAGCCCAUUCUGUUCUCUCCUGAAACAUGCCUGUUCCUGAGGAGCCGGUGCUGGCAUGGGUGGGGAAGAAGAGGAGAGAGCCCCACAGAACAAUUGCCUUGAGGCUUGGCUUGGCAGAAACCUAGAAGGAAACUGGCUGUGUUUGGAGGUUGACAGGCAGCAUCAUCAUGUAAGAGCACCCCAUCCUCAUUUGCCUGCUGUUGUGUUCAUCAUUCAAGGGAGGCUCAGAGAGAAGUUAGGUACUCUUCUAAGCCAGAGCAUGUAGAAGGAAAAAAUGGAGAAAAACGUCUUCUGUCCUCAAUGAGCAAACUGGUUUCAAAUUCCUAAUCUGCAAAUUCUGAAUCUGAAAUGUUUCAAAAUUGGAAACAUUGUGAUGACACAGCAAGUGGAAAAUUCCAAACCUGACCUCAUGUUGCAGAGUGGACAGUGAGAGAGAGAGAGAGACAAAGAGAAAGGUCUUCCUUUUCCGUUGAUUCACCCCCCAGUGGCUGCUGUAGCCGGCGCACUUCGCUGAUCCGAAGCCAGGAGCCAGGUGCUUCCUCCUGGUCUCCCAUGUGGGUGCAGGGCCCAGGGACUUGGGCCAUCCUCCACUGCCUUCCUGGGCCACAGAAGAGAGCUGGACUGGAAGAGGAGCAACUGGGACAGAAUCCGGCGCCCUGAUCGGGACUAGAACCCGGGGUGCCGGCGCCACAGGCAGAGGAUUAGCCUAUUGAGCCGCGGUGCCUGCCAAACAUUAAUUCUAUACUACUCUCUAAUAUUCUUAUUCAAAUUUCACCAUUUGUCCCAAAGGUCCCAUCGAGAUUCCUGUGUUGCAUAAGUUGGGAUAUUUCUUUAAGUAUCUUUUUUUUUUGUCUAGAAAAGUCCUACUACAUCUUUCUAAAAAGUGUAUUUAUUUAGAUAUCACUGACUUUUUGGAGUCCAGGCCAGGUGUCCUACAGAAUGCCUUUUAGUCUCCAUUAGUCUGACUUUUCUCAUGGGGUCAUUUAACUGGACUUAUCUCCCUUGUGUCAUCUGUAAACUUCAAACUAGAUUUAGAGGAUUUAUUAUAUUGCAACCAAACCUUUUUGGGGACAGACAAUGUCAUACAUAAUGUUCAACAUGUCAGCAUUGCACAGCUUCGUGUCUCAUGUCAGACUGUUCCACUCUCAGUGAGGACAUUGAAAAAUGCACCAGCAAGUGCAUUUCUCCAUGGAUUUUGAUGCCAUGGAACACCUCUUCUUUUUUUGAACACCUCUUUUUGUUCAUUGUGGGCUUCUACCCAAAGUGUCUCCCUUUGGGAUCUCCACCCUGUUCUACUCCCUUGAUCAGGUCACACAUGUCACUCUGCCUCUUGAAGCCACUCAGCAAUUUCCUCUCUCUUCUCUGACUUGCCUGUAGGCCUUUCUGUCCAAACAUGGCUGUCAAAUCCUCUCCAGACAGUGGGCCCAUUGCUCUUGUACUGUCCUGCAUGUCUUCCUUUCUUUGGAUGAAUCCUCCAGGAUUGAUAUUUGUGUCUCAACCAUGACCUUCAAAGGUCUGUUACGAAACUCAUAGCCCUGAUUUCGACUCUUGUUCUGGUUAAGUAAUUUUUUAAUCCUCCUUUCGCUUGGGCAAUAAAUCUCAGAGGCAGAGGAUUUCCCACUAGAAGACUGCAUUGAGCAAUUUUUUUUAAAUAUUUAUUUAUUUGAAAGGCAGAGUUGCAGAGAGGGAGGGAGGGACAGAGAGACAAAGAAGAGACCUUCCAUCCCUUGGUUCACUCUCCUAAUGGCCACAACAGCCAGGCCUGUGUGGUGGAAUGAGAAGGCCGUGCCAAGAUGGCCACUGGCAAGCAAGUGUCAGUUACUCAGGAAUGGCUUCAGAAACCACCUGGCAACAGAGCCUGCCUGGCAACAGGCUGUGAUUGGUUAGGGCAUAACCUCCCCUUGACUGGAUUGGCUGCCUCGGCUAUAUAGGAUGCUGUAGCAACUGAAAUAAAUGAGUCUGUGGGCUGCUCACCUCUGGCCCACUUUCACCUGACUCCCGGGGUCUGUGUGGUGACUCCGCGCCUCUUGCCCACACCACGCUCCUCCUCUCAGAACGAAUCCACAGCAACAGGCUUGGGACAGGUAGAAGCUAGGAGUCUGGAACUUGGGGUCUUCCAUGUGGAUGACAGGAGCCUAAUUUCUUAGGCUAUCUUCUGCUGCUUUCCAAAUGCAUUAGCAAGGAGCUGAAUCAGAAACAGAGCAUCUGGGACUUGAACUGGCACCCACAUGGGAUACCAGUGUUGCAGGCAGUGGCUUACUCUGUUGUGCCACAACUUGGGCCCCAGCAAUAUUUCAAAGUAGCUUUCUUUGCAAUCCCUGGAAAGUCAAGGAGUCAUUGUCAGUCCCCUAAGAGGGCACAGAAAUAUGGACAGUUGGCUUGAUGAUACUUCUCAGAUUUUAUGACUACUUUUCAGUUAUUAACUGGAAAGUAACAUGACAGAAGAGGAAUUCCAUGUGAAGAAAAGUGCAAAAGCAACGUCAGCACAUGACAAUCCUUGCCCUAUCCCUGAAGUAAGGAUGCUGGAGAUUAAAAAUCAGAAGCCAGAAUGUGGAUUUGGCUUAGAGGAUAAGACACUGCUUAGGACACACACACCCCAGUCCUGACUCCAACUUCUUAUUAACACACAGGCUGGGAAGCAGCAAUGAUGGCUCAAGUAUUUGGGUUCCUGCUACCUACAUGGGAAAAUUGUAUUGAGUUCCUGGAUCCUGACUUUGGCUUGGCCUAGCCCUGGCUAUUGUGGGUAUUUGGGGAAUGAAGCAGCAGAUAAAACCCACCCCCCCCUCUUUCUCUCCCUCUGCCUUUUGAAUAAAAAUAAAUUACAAAAUUAAAAAAGAUAAACAUCAGAAGCAGAAAAAUUUAGCAAAUGCACAUGUCCAAAUCCAGAUGAGUCUGCCUCCUGUCCAAAGAGAAGCCAAGACCCUGAACAAAGGUUCACAUCCCAGAGCACACUGAGCUACCUUUUGACCUUGACACCAAGAGCUUUCAGUGGCUGAGUUAGGAUCCAGUGAAUUCAACCAGGAUUUGGGAUUUUGUCUAAGGAGCCAAGGCUAUACUGUUUCAUCUGUGAGGGCCUGAAUGUUUCCAAAAGUUCAUGUGUUGAAGCUUAACCACCAAUCUUAUUAAGAGUUGGGAGCUCUGGGGGAUGAUUAGGCCACAAAGAUUCCACCCUGACAAAUGCAUGUGCUUCCUUAUAAAAGCCCUUGAGGGAACUAGCUGGCUGCUUUUUGACUUCUCUGUCCUUUGCAUCUCUUUCUCCAAUUCAGGAUACCGUGUUCAUCACCUCCAGAGGGUGCAGCAAGAAGGGACCACCCUGUAGGCAUCCAUCAGCUCUCACCAGACACCACAUAGCUGGCACCUUGAUUUGGACUCUCCAGCCCCGUAACUAUGAGACAGAAAUUUUUUUAUUUAUAAAUUAUCCAGUCUCAGGUAUUUUAUUGCAGCAGCACAAACUGGUGAAGAUUCAAAUUUAGUACAGAGAAAUGGGGUGGUGUUGAUAACAAAUAUGGGGAAAUGUAGAUGCAGUUUUAGAGCUGAGAGAUGGGUAGAGACUUAAGCUGUUUUUAAGGUCAUGCUAGAAAAAGUCUAGAUUUCAGUGUUGAAGUCAAUCCUGGUGAGGGCUCAGAGACAGAGCUGCAGUCUUCUUAGAAGUUAUAUAGGUGGUUUUAAUUGUAAUAUUGGUAAAAAUAUGGAGAGAAGGCCAUUCUGAUGAAGCCUUAAAUAGAAAUGAGAAGUAUCUUACUGGGAACUGGAGGUAAGACCAUCUUUGCUACAAAGCUGGCAAAGAACUUAUCUGAACUAUGUCCAUGUCCUACUAUUUUGUGAAAGGCAGAAUUUGCAAGCAACGGACCAGAACAAGUAUGCAUAGAUUUCAAAAAAUGUUUCCCACCAAAUGAAUUAUAUUUUAAUUCCAGUUUCUGUGAACUUUUUGAAGUGCCUUCCUUCAUUUGGCAAAAGAAUUCUCCAAGCAAAAUGUUCAAGAUGACCAAAAUAGCUGGACUGCAUUGAGCCACAGCCAGGAUCAGAGAACUCCAUCCAACUCUCCCAUGUGGGUGGCAAUAUCUCGGGUACAUGAUCCAUCGCUGCUGCUUCCCGGGGUCUGCUUUAGCAGGAAGAUGGGGUCAGAAGCUGAAGCCAAGUGUGGAACCCAGAGCACACCAUGUAACCAGCUCAGGCUUCAAGAGCUUGUGAAAUUAAAAUAAAGACAUGGAUUUCAAUAACAUCCCAAGUGAGAUUGAUUGCUGCCUCCUCCCUAACUGACUGAUAAGGAACCUAAGAAAUGGAUGGAAGUUCAUUCAUAAGUUACAUAGCCAGGUCUGGGCCAGGCUGAAGCCAGGAUCCAGGAACUCCAUCCAGAUCUCUUGCAUGGAUGGCAGGAACCCAAAUAUAUGCCUCCCAGGAACAUCAGCAGGAAGUCUGAUGGAAAGCAGAGUGUCUGGGACUUGAGCUGGCCUUCGCAUGGAAUCUUCAGCUCCUGACUUCAGCUUCUUGGUAACACAGACCUGGGAGGCAGUUGAUGAUGGCGCACGUAUUGGGUACCCAGCACCCAUGUAGAAGACAUGGAAUGAGAUGCUGGCUCCUGACUUUGGCCUAUUCCAGCCCAGGUAUUUAUCAAAGAGAAAUGAAGGCCUGUGUCCAUACAAAGACUUCUAUAGAAGUGUCCAUGACAGCUUUAUUUGCAAGAGCUCUACACUGAAAGCAAUAAAAAAAGUUCAUCAGCAGCAAUCCAAUGAGAUCCACACUCAGGAUGUGCUGAACUCUCGUGCAUGUGUUGUACUUGAUAAAGGAAAGCUAGGAGGCAAAGAGUAUGCUCACAACAUGCCUGAAUAUGAAGAUGUCAUUGCCAAGCUCCCUCUAAGGAUGAGAUGUUUGCACUGCCUCCCUGUGGAGACAUGGCACUCCUGGCCAAUAAUAUAAUUGCAUGCUUUGUUUUGUUUGUUUGUUUUCAUUCUUAAGGCAAUGGGUGGUAAGUUCUGAUUUUUGGUGUAGAAAUGGUUAAAGAUAAUUUAUUCAUGGCAUUUUGUUAUAAAGCUGCAAAUUGUACAUAUUUUUUUAGGAGAGCACAGAUGUCUUGAUAGAUGCAAAAUAAUGACAGGUAUGUAACGCAGGCCUCCCUCAGGAGGAUAAGGAGAGGGGGAAACGGGGAACUUGCUCUACGUGGCAGACAGUGAAGCUUCAACAUGUCAGCAUUUUGUGUCACUCAUCUGCUCUCAGCCUCAAGUCAUUUUCUGUCACCUUGAGAAUAGAACGCUAAGCCUGCAUGAGACCUCACAAGUCUUGCUGCUCAUCCAGAAAUCCACCCUGUUCUCAUUUCAAGGCACUGCACUCACUCUUCCCUACAUCUAAAACAUUCCUCCAUCAGAUAAUUAUGCAGUAGGCCUCAUAGCUUGGUUGAAUGAGCGGAUUUAUGGGAACAUGGUUCUGUGCAUUUCAGUAAAAAAAGACAAAACAAGCUCCCAUAAUUAUAAGUAUUCAAAGAUUUACACUCCUUCUCUAUCUUCUCCUAAGAAUCAAUCUUUGUAGUUCAAAGCUUGCAUUCUGGGGCUGGCCCAGUGCUGCGGUGGGUUAAAGCCAUGGAGUACAGUGCCAAUAUCCCAAAUGAGGGCCAGUUCUAGUCCAGCUCCCUGCUAACGCUCCUGGGAAGGCAGAAGAAAAUGGCCUAGGUACUUGUGCCCCUGCAUCCAUGUGAGAGACCCAGAAGAACCUCCUGGCUCCUGGCUUCAGCCUGGUCCAGCCCUGGCUGUUGCAGCUAUUUAGACAGUGAACCAAUAGAUGGAAGAUCCCUCUAUCUCUGUCUCUCUCUCUCCCUUUCUCUGGAAUUUCACCUUUCAGAUAAAUAAAUCUUUUAAAAAAAUCUUGCAUUCUACAUACCUUUUAUUUCAUUUUUGGAUAUGUGAACAGCAAAGGAAAACAUACACACACACAAACACACACACAGAGAAAGAUAUCUUCCAUUUGCUGGUUCACUCACCAAAUGCCCACAACAGUGGGGAGGGAGCGCUGGGUCAGGGUAUAGCAAAGGCCCAGGAACUCAAUCCAAAUCUCUCAUAUGAGUGGCAAGGACCCAACCAGUUGAGCCUUCACCUGUUGCCUCCCAUGGUAGGCAGCAGCAAAACUUGGGAGCAGAGCUGGGAUUUGAACCCAGGUACUCUCAGAUGUUUGUCUCAAGCAGUGUCUUCACUAUUGUGGAAAAUACCCACCCCCUUGGAUCACUUUAAAAAAGAUUUAUUUAUUUAAGCCAGUGUUAGAGAGGCAAAGGGAGGGAGGGAGAGAGAGAGAGAGAGAGAGAGAGAGAGAGAGAAAGAUCUUCUAUCCACUGGUACACUCCCCAGACGGCUGCAAUGGCUAGGGCUGAACUAGGUGGAGAGCCCAGGAUCCAGCCGGAGGAAGCUGAGGGAUUGAGAAAUGGCAGCAGCUAAGCCCGUCAAUGCUAUGUGCAGGCUCUGACUUAGUAAGGACUUGGUGCACCUUCACAUGCUUACUUCUUAAACAACCCGAGGAAAUGCACAAGAGGACAGGCAGGCAGGGAGCCUUUCAGGAGUCAGGAGCCUCUUCCUGGUCUUCUGUGUGUGUGCAGAGAUUCAAGGACUUGGGCCAUCUUCCAUUGUUUUCCCAAGUGCAUGAGCAAGGAGCUGAAUCAGAAGUGAAGCAGCAGGGACAUGAACCUGUGAUCAUAUGGGAUGCCGGCACUGCAGGUGGCGGCUGUGUGCCACAGUACCGGCCCCUGGAUCACUUUUUAAAAAGCUUGAUUUUUUUUGAGUAGUUUUAGAUUUCCAGCAAAACUGAGUAGAAAGUACAGAGAUUUCCCACACACCCUCCUGCCAGUGAGCAGCUCCUCCCCUAACUCCCCUCUAGAAUGGUGCAGUUGUUACUGCUGGUCAGCCCACAUAACAUCUUCAAGCCCCUGUUUCACAUUAUGCCUCACUCUUGGUAUUGUGCCCUGAGUUUGGACAGAUAUAUAAUGACUUGUGGGUAACUCUCUGAGUACUCAGGUUUUACCGAUGUGUAGAAGAAAGUCGAGAUAGUAAAAACGAAUAGGAAAGGGUUCUGCCAACAGUUCUGCCUGUGGGACACAGCCUCCAGGAAAACAGCCCCUACCUGGUGACCAUGACGAUGCUCACAGCUAGUGAAAGACCAGUGUGAACUGGGGCAGGUGGUGGAGAGCCCAGGAUCCAGCCGGAGGAAGCUGAGGGAUUGAGAAAUGGCAGCAGCUAAGCCCGUCAAUGCUAUGUGCAGGCUCUGACUUAGUAAAGACUUGGUGCACCUUCGCAUGCUUACUUCUUAACCCGAGGAAAUGCACAAGAGGACAGGCAGGCAGGGAGCCUUUCAGUUUCAGUCUACAAUAGCUGGGAUUUCACUCCUGCAGCCUGGUCCCUGGCUCACAAGGAUUAACCUCAGCAGGAGCCUGACCUGGGACUGGGGCUUGGAGGGGGGACUAGGGAGGCCCUAGGAGGAGGGAACAAGGCAGAACUCAAACAUCAGGCAGACAUAUGGAUGGAGCAGCAGCGCCCUCUGCAGGGAGCGUGGAGCUUCCGUUUUUCUCAGUCAACAGGGGUUUUCCCCAGGUCCCCAGUGGCUUAGGCUCCACCCUGCCCUCAGUCCCAUACCUCAUGGGUCCCAACCCUAGUCCUUCUCAGAAGCUUUGUGCUGAGCACACAUGCGGUGCCGCAGUCAGAGCCCAUAGGCGUUUACAAUAGCAUCCCUGGUUACCUUACGCAAAUGCAUCUCAGAAUUUAAACAAAAUUCUUCAAAGCGUGAAAGCUGUGAAGAGUCAACGACACAAGCUUUCAUUUUUCACUAUUUGUUGAACACUUCAUUUAAUGGAAUAUUAAGCCUCUGCCCAUGAUGUAAAUUAAAAGUGUCAUCUCUAAAAAUAAUAAAUGAAAUAUUACAUUGAACAAAGAGCCAAGCUUUCAAUAAUGAAUUUUCAUAUUGAAGGCAGGCAGCGUGAAGAUGUUUGGGACCAGAAGCAGUCCCACAUGGCACCAACUCACCCUUCUUGGACAGCCACCCAUUCUGUCAGGGACCUUCUGGGUGCCAGCACCCGUGUGGCUCGGUGUGAAGAGAAGACAGCGCAUCCCACUGCCCUUUCCUCUGCUCAUUUCCCAGCCUCCACUGCUCCUUCCUCUCCUGGACAGUUAUGAGGCUUCUUUUGGGUCCCCGAUUCUGCUCUGGGCGUGAGGGGCUAUGGAACUGCAGGAGGGCGUGACGCUGUCCCUCCCCAGGAACAAAGGGACUCUCGGCACAGGUGACAGGUGGUGAAACAGGGUGGAGAUGACUGUCAACCAUUCCCAGUGUCUACAGGGCUACCCCAGAGUGGGAAAGAAACAGCUCCUACACAAACAACAGUGUUUGAUCUGAAAAAAUACUGUCUGCUGGUGAACUUGGUUUAUUUCCUAAAACAUAUUGUAGCAUGCAUAUUUACCCACUUACAUAUAAGGAUAAUUGCAUUACUAUUUUCAAGGAGGAUCAAGGACAAUUACCCCUCACCAGCUCAAGGCUGGAGGCUGGGUUCCUGGGUCCCAGGUUUGUUCCAGGGGAGAGAAUUGUGACUUUUAUUUGCAAGCUAGGCACCUCCACCAAACUUCUCACAUCUGACCUGAAGACAGGUUUUGUUUGACUCACAAUGGAACAAACUGCCAAUGUUAAAAAAUAAACAAACAUUUGGAAUAUUAUCUUAAAAAAAAAAAAAAACUAGGUGGUGUUUGGAAAAGUCUGAUGACCCGAGGCUGGCCUUUCCCAAGGAAACAAUUGGUUAAGGCUGCAGGGAGACUUCAUAUCCCCACGUGCCAUGGGUCCACCACUCCUUAUUUCUCCUGGCAUGGAUUUCCUAGGGCCAAUUGCUGUUCAUCACCUUCUUCCCCAGCUGCUUCACUUCCACUGCUUGCAUUAGGAUCAGAUGGUAGAUGGGAUGGGCUUGGUGUGGGUGCUCUGUGAGGGCAGGGACCUGUCACCACUUGCCCUCAUCAGAAGGGUCCUCUAACACAGCAUGGCUGUGCAGAUGUCCUGGGAUCCCUGGAGGGUUGGACUUUGGGGAAUGGACAAUUAAAAACACUGUGGCUGUCUCGCAGAAUGGAACACACAGGCCUGGACAAUGAGGAUCCCAUGGGCAACCUGCUGGCUGCAGACCAGAGACUCAUCCUCUACUUCACUGAUUUGCUAAAGUUUUAUAUUUGAAGAGGAAAACAUUGGCAGAGUUAGACAGUGAGAGACAGAGAGAAAGGUCUUCCUUUUCCGUUGGUUCACCCCCCAAAUGGCCACUACAGCUGGCGCCCUGCACGGAUCCGAAGCCAGGAGCCAGGUGCUUCCUCCUGGUCUCCCACGCAGGGCCCGCUCAAGCACUUGGGGCAUCCUCCACUGCACUCCCGGGCCACAGCAGAGAACUGGACUGGAAGAGGAGCAACCGGUACAGAAUCCGGCACCCCACCCGGGACAAGAACCCAGGGUGCCGGCGCCACAGGCAGAGGAUUAGCCAAGUGAACCACAGCGAGUAGUCAUGAGUGCCUUGUGUUUGGGAAUUUGUUUUAUAAAACAUUCACAAUAUCUUUUGUGAUUCUAUGGUGACCAAAUUCAUUCAUUCAUUCACUCAAUUCAUUCAUUCAUAUAUCCAUGUGUCAGAUGUUGGCAAAUCCAUCAUAGACAUGUUGGAAGGGUGUACAAUGUGUUUAGCACCAAGUUCUUUCAGCUGUUGCUGGGGACCUGGCUGGAAGAUAGGAGACUGGAGUAGAAACAAUGUUGACUGGGAAUGAGAAGUUUGGGGUUUAAGAUCCUAUAUCCAUCCUUCAAUUGCUGGGCGACCUUGGGGCAACUACACCUUCUUCAUGUGUAAAAUAAGACAAAAUGAUCUUAAUUUUAAAAAAGUCUAAUUCUGAAAUACUUUGCUAAAGAAAAGAGGUAUCUGCCUCUGAUGUAAACACAGGUUUCCUUACUAUAUGGGCACCGUUAGUGCCCUUAAUAGGUUUUGGUUUUUCUUCAUGUAUCUGAUUUCCAGAAACUGCUGCAAUGUGUUUACUUAUCUAAGAUUUUAUAUCUGAGGAAUGAAAUAAAAACGUU